AAGAUGUUGACUUCUGCUUCUGAUCAACAGAAAAAAGAAAAAAAUCAAACCACAUCAUCUGAAGGGAGAGGGAAUGGAUCAAGUUCUGAUACGGGUUCCCUGUUGACAGCCGGGCCAUUAUUUUUGCGUUCCUUCAUGCAGUCUGUCAACAAGCAGUAGGACAAACAAAAAGCGCUCUGGCCGGACACUUCUCCAGGCUCUGGGGCUACAGAGGAGAGCAAAACAGAUGAAAGUCUGUUUACAAGUACAAAGGGCCACAAUGAAGUUUUUAAAGUAAGUGCCAAGAUGAGCAGACUGGAGCACUGAGAGGUCAAGAAACAUGCUCGUGCCAUGCGUCCAUUUUAUCGAGAUAUAAUUGACAUACAGCACUGUAUAAGGUGUACACAUGACCCAGCAAUUCCACUCCUGGGUAUUUAUCUGAAGAAAAUGAAAACACUGAUUGAAAAGAUAAGAUGGAAGAGACUUGCAUCUGUUUGUCUGCUAAGAGCAAAGAACCAGUGGUGGUGAAAAUGUUGGAUAGAUGGGACAGAUGAAGGCUGUUUGAUGUCUGUCUUGGAGAAGCAAGAGGACACGGGAUGCCAGUGGAAGGAGAAACCCCUUCCACUGAGGUGGGAGAUCAGAAGAUAAAGAGGAAAGAGGAUGCAGGAAUUCAGACGCUUUGUGUUGAGAUGGAAGGGGCUUCUUUGAAUGACUGCAAAACCCAGAACAGAGAAAUGCACUCCCAAUCCCAGACCCCU